rnacentral:ncRNA from 5 species
UAUCACAGCCAUUUUUGACGAGUU